rnacentral:rRNA from 1 species
AGUUUGAUCAUGGCUCAGAUUGAACGCUGGCGGCAGGCCUAACACAUGCAAGUCGAGCGGUAGAGAGAAGCUUGCUUCUCUUGAGAGCGGCGGACGGGUGAGUAAUACCUAGGAAUCUGCCUGAUAGUGGGGAUAACGUUCGGAAACGGACGCUAAUACCGCAUACGUCCUACGGGAGAAAGCAGGGGACCUUCGGGCCUUGCGCUAUAAGAUGAGCCUAGGUCGGAUUAGCUAGUUGGUGAGGUAAUGGCUCACCAAGGCUACGAUCCGUAACUGGUCUGAGAGGAUGAUCAGUCACACUGGAACUGAGACACGGUCCAGACUCCUACGGGAGGCAGCAGUGGGGAAUAUUGGACAAUGGGCGAAAGCCUGAUCCAGCCAUGCCGCGUGUGUGAAGAAGGUCUUCGGAUUGUAAAGCACUUUAAGUUGGGAGGAAGGGCAUUAACCUAAUACGUUAGUGUCUUGACGUUACCGACAGAAUAAGCACCGGCUAACUCUGUG